CCUACGGCGGCAGUGGGGAAUAUUGGACAAUGGGCGAAAGCCUGAUCCAGCCAUGCCGCGUGUGUGAAGAAGGCCUUCGGGUUGUAAAGCACUUUCAGUGGGGAAGAAAGCCUUGGGGCUAAUACCCUCGAGGAAGGACAUCACCCACAGAAGAAGCACCGGCUAACUCCGUGCCAGCAGCCGCGGUAAUACGGAGGGUGCGAGCGUUAAUCGGAAUUACUGGGCGUAAAGCGCGCGUAGGCGGUCUGAUAAGCCGGUUGUGAAAGCCCCGGGCUCAACCUGGGAACGGCAUCCGGAACUGUCAGGCUAGAGUGCAGGAGAGGAAGGUAGAAUUCCCGGUGUAGCGGUGAAAUGCGUAGAGAUCGGGAGGAAUACCAGUGGCGAAGGCGGCCUUCUGGACUGACACUGACGCUGAGGUGCGAAAGCGUGGGUAGCAAACAGGAUUAGAUACCCCGGUAGUC
rnacentral:rRNA from 1 species